UACGGAGGGUCCAAGCGUUAUCCGGAUUUAUUGGGUUUAAAGGGUGCGUAGGCGGCACAGUAAGUUAGAGGUGAAAUCUCGCGGCUCAACCGCGAAACUGCCUCUGAUACUGCUGAGCUAGAGAUUAGAUGCUGUGGGCGGAAUGUGUAGUGUAGCGGUGAAAUGCUUAGAGAUUACACAGAACACCGAUUGCGAAGGCAGCUCACAAAUCUACUUCUGACGUUGAGGCACGAAAGCGUGGGUAGCAAACAGGA
rnacentral:rRNA from 1 species